CACAGAGAGCUUGCUCUCGGGUGACGAGCGGCGGACGGGUGAGUAAUGUCUGGGAAACUGCCUGAUGGAGGGGGAUAACUACUGGAAACGGUAGCUAAUACCGCAUAACGUCGCAAGACCAAAGUGGGGGACCUUCGGGCCUCAUGCCAUCAGAUGUGCCCAGAUGGGAUUAGCUAGUAGGUGGGGUAAUGGCUCACCUAGGCGACGAUCCCUAGCUGGUCUGAGAGGAUGACCAGCCACACUGGAACUGAGACACGGUCCAGACUCCUACGGGAGGCAGCAGUGGGGAAUAUUGCACAAUGGGCGCAAGCCUGAUGCAGCCAUGCCGCGUGUAUGAAGAAGGCCUUCGGGUUGUAAAGUACUUUCAGCGAGGAGGAAGGCGUUAAGGUUAAUAACCUUGGCGAUUGACGUUACUCGCAGAAGAAGCACCGGCUAACUCCGUGCCAGCAGCCGCGGUAAUACGGAGGGUGCAAGCGUUAAUCGGAAUUACUGGGCGUAAAGCGCACGCAGGCGGUCUGUCAAGUCGGAUGUGAAAUCCCCGGGCUCAACCUGGGAACUGCAUUCGAAACUGGCAGGCUAGAGUCUUGUAGAGGGGGGUAGAAUUCCAGGUGUAGCGGUGAAAUGCGUAGAGAUCUGGAGGAAUACCGGUGGCGAAGGCGGCCCCCUGGACAAAGACUGACGCUCAGGUGCGAAAGCGUGGGGGAGCAAACAGGAUUAGAUACCCUGGUAGUCCACGCCGUAAACGAUGUCGACUUGGAGGUUGUGCCCUUGAGGCGUGGCUUCCGGAGCUAACGCGUUAAGUCGACCGCCUGGGGAGUACGGCCGCAAGGUUAAAACUCAAAUGAAUUGACGGGGGCCCGCACAAGCGGUGGAGCAUGUGGUUUAAUUCGAUGCAACGCGAAGAACCUUACCUACUCUUGACAUCCAGAGAACUUAGCAGAGAUGCUUUGGUGCCUUCGGGAACUCUGAGACAGGUGCUGCAUGGCUGUCGUCAGCUCGUGUUGUGAAAUGUUGGGUUAAGUCCCGCAACGAGCGCAACCCUUAUCCUUUGUUGCCAGCGGUCCGGCCGGGAACUCAAAGGAGACUGCCAGUGAUAAACUGGAGGAAGGUGGGGAUGACGUCAAGUCAUCAUGGCCCUUACGAGUAGGGCUACACACGUGCUACAAUGGCAUAUACAAAGAGAAGCGACCUCGCGAGAGCAAGCGGACCUCAUAAAGUAUGUCGUAGUCCGGAUUGGAGUCUGCAACUCGACUCCAUGAAGUCGGAAUCGCUAGUAAUCGUAGAUCAGAAUGCUACGGUGAAUACGUUCCCGGGCCUUGUACACACCGCCCGUCACACCAUGGGA
rnacentral:rRNA from 1 species